UCACACCACACUGUCUUCUCCAUGUGAAGUAUUUCAAGCUAGAAUCAACAGAGCUGCAGGAGAAAAAGAAGGCAAGAAUUGAUCAGAGUAUGGAGUCUUUACCUUCACUUGCUUUCCGUGACUGCCAGAUCUAUCAGCUCAAGGUCGUUCAGAUGCGGCAAAAUUCAGGCUUCUGCCACAGCAUUGCUCCAUUCAGCAUCAAUGUCACUCCCAUUNAUCUCCAACAAAACAACUCUUCAAAAUAAAAGAAGCUGGAACAUCAGUGAAGGGACUUUUUGCUUUUUGGAUGAAGAAGAAUCAGAACAAAAGCUUAUAGUUUCUUCCUACUUCUCAGGACCCAAUCCCUUCCCAACAGGUUC
rnacentral:lncRNA from 1 species